CUCUCAGAGAAGGUGACAGUGAUCC
rnacentral:piRNA from 2 species